GAGACAGGGAGGGAGGGAAAGAUAAUGGAAGAAGGGAAGGCUGCCACUACAGUCCAGUGUUUCAAGACAAGUGCAGUAGAUUACAGAAGUAUUACAUUUCAGGUACACAUCUACUAAAAAUUGAUUCUGAAGAAGGCAUGUGAUGACACUGCAAAAUGUGGAUAUUGAUUAGUGGCAGGUUCUGUUUUCUUCCCAAGUGGCUCCCUUUUGUCUAUUUAGUGCACUAGUUUUGACUACGGGCCUGAACAGAGUGUACAAAACAUUAGGAACACAAUCAAUGCAGCUUCUUAAAUGACCUUUUAGCCAAGUCGCAUUUGGAAAGUUUUUUUAAACUCUCUCCCACUGGCCUCCCCUACCAGAAUUACACUGCAUUGUUGGUGUUUGGGGUGGACUACACAACCCCCCACCAAAACACGAACACACACACACACACACACACACUUACACUAGAACAGUUCAACUCCUCGGCUGUUUACCAAAACAAGUGGCGGGAUGACGUGCUCUGUUAUUGUAUGAAUACCAGAUUACCCCUUUAAACGCUGAUUCUCCAUGUUGUUUACAGGUAUUGAUUGGAUGACAGAGGAACCAAACAACAUGCAUGACGAGUGGGCUUGUGUCUUACAGACAGCAUCAGACCCAUUGAAGAGUUGGAAGGAUGGACCAUGUGUUAAACACUGGGUCUGUGAGAAACACAGUAGUUAUAAUAGCUACUGUAUUUAUCCAUGGCUUGAGAAGGGAGGUCUGGAUGGGACUUCAUGACAGCCAUGCAGAGGAAGUUUGGGAGUGGGUUGAUGGGACAUCUUACUACCCAGAGAGUUGACCACCUGGCUCUCUGUGCUAUUGAACAAGAUGAUUUGGUUACACUUUAUAACAACCCUCAUGAAUAGGCCAUUAUAAAUGCUCAGGAAUUGUAAUGGUUAUAAUGUUUAGAAAUUGUUUAUAAAUGUUUACAAAUAAGACAAUAAUAAUGUAUUAAUACUAUUGUCACACCCUGAUCAUAGUUUGCUUUGUAUGUUUCUAUGUUUUGGUUGGUCAGGGUGUGAUCUGAGUGGGCAUUCUAUGUUGGAUNNNNNNNNNNCACUAGUUGUAAUGGUUAUGGGUCCAUGGUUAAAGAAGGGUUUGUAAGAACCAGACUCACAUCCAUGUUGAACACUAGUUGUAAUGGUUAUGGGUCCAUGGUUAAAGAAGGGGCAGUCUGGGAUUGUCUAAGUGACAGGGUGUCUGGUCGCUUUGUUGAUUCCCAGACUGACCCUCUAUUAAGGUUAUCUGAUUUUGCUAGGUGUUGGGUUAAGGACAGUAUA
rnacentral:lncRNA from 13 species